CCGAGUUUACAACUCCCAAACCCCUGUGAACAUACCACUUGUUGCCUCGGCGGAUCAGCCCGCUCCCGGUAAAACGGGACGGCCCGCCAGAGGACCCCUAAACUCUGUUUCUAUAUGUAACUUCUGAGUCAAACCAUAAAUAAAUCA
rnacentral:misc_RNA from 1 species